CUGGCCGUAAACGGUGUGCACUUGGUGUGGGAGGACUUAUACCCCUUCCGUGCCGUAGCUAACGUGAUAAGUGCACCGCCUGGGGAGUACGGUCGCAAGAUUAAAACUCAAAGGAAUUGACGGGGGCCCGCACAAGCGGUGGAGCAUGUGGCUUAAUUCGAUGCAACGCGAAGAACCUUACCUGGGUUUGACAUGGGAGCCCUUCGGGGUUAGUCCGGUGAAAGCCGGAUGCGUCCACACAGGUGC
rnacentral:rRNA from 1 species